rnacentral:rRNA from 1 species
AGAGUUUGAUCAUGGCUCAGGACGAACGCUGGCGGCGUGCCUAACACAUGCAAGUCGAACGGGCAUAUUCCGAUAGCAAUAUUGGGGUAUGCUAGUGGCGAACGGGUGAGUAAUGCGUGAGCAACCUGCCUUUCAGAGGGGGACAACAGUUGGAAACGACUGCUAAUACCGCAUAAAGUAUUUGGGUGGCAUCACCUGAAUACCAAAGGAGCAAUCCGCUGAGAGAUGGGCUCACGUCUGAUUAGUUAGUUGGUAGGGUAACGGCCUACCAAGACUGCGAUCAGUAGCCGGUCUGAGAGGAUGAACGGCCACAUUGGGACUGAGAUACGGCCCAGACUCCUACGGGAGGCAGCAGUGGGGAAUAUUGGGCAAUGGGCGAAAGCCUGACCCAGCAACGCCGCGUGAAGGAAGAAGGCUUUCGGGUUGUAAACUUCUUUUAUGUGGGACGAAAAAAAUGACGGUACCGCAUGAAUAAGCCACGGCUAACUACGUGCCAGCAGCCGCGGUAAUACGUAGGUGGCGAGCGUUGUCCGGAUUUACUGGGUGUAAAGGGCGCGUAGGCGGGAAUGCAAGUCAGGUGUGAAAUCCAUGGGCUCA